AGGCAGACAUGUACAGCUAACAAUGCUUCUAUACAACCUAUAUAGUUGACCUAUUACUUUAAUUUUAAGAAAAUAGACCAAAACACAAAAACUUAACACUGUGCAAUGAACCGUGAAAAUGAGGUCAAGGUCAAAUAAAACCUGCGCAACUGACAUAAAGAUCAUAAAAUAUUUCCAUACAUCAAAUAUAGUUGACCUAUGGCAUAUAGUAUUAGAUAAAAAGACCAAAUCUCAAAAACUUAACUUUGACCACUGAACCAUGAAAAUGAGGUCAAGGUCACAUGACAUCUGCCCACUAGACAUGUACACCUUACAAUCAUUCCAUACAACAAAUAUAGUAGACCUAUUGCAUAUAGUAUGAGAAAAACAGACCAAAACACAAAAAUUUAACUAUAACCACUGAUCCAUGAAAACGAGGUCAAGGUCAGAUGACACCUGC
rnacentral:lncRNA from 1 species